GACAGAGGUGCCGAGCGUUAGGCGGAAUCACUGGGCUUAAAGCGUGUGUAGGCGGAUUCCUAAGUACCUUGUGAAAUCCCAUGGCUCAACCAUGGAACUGCUUGGUAUACUGGGUGUCUUGAGCCAGCUAGGGGCUACCGGAACAAAUGGUGGAGCGGUGAAAUGCGUAGAUAUCAUCAGGAACACCGGUGGCGAAAGCGGCUUACUGGGUCUCUUCUGACGCUGAGAAACGAAAGCUAGGGGAGCGAAGGGG
rnacentral:rRNA from 1 species